CCUACGGGCGGCUGCAGUCGAGAAUCAUUCACAAUGGGGGAAACCCUGAUGGUGCGACGCCGCGUGGGGGAAUGAAGGUCUUCGGAUUGUAAACCCCUGUCAUGUGGGAGCAAAUUAAAAAGAUAGUACCACAAGAGGAAGAGACGGCUAACUCUGUGCCAGCAGCCGCGGUAAUACAGAUGUCUCAAGCGUUGUUCGGAAUCACUGGGCGUAAAGCGUGCGUAGGCUGUUUCGUAAGUCGUGUGUGAAAGGCGCGGGCUCAACCCGCGGACGGCACAUGAUACUGCGAGACUAGAGUAAGGGAGGGGGAACCGGAAUUCUCGGUGUAGCAGUGAAAUGCGUAGAUAUCGAGAGGAACACUCGUGGCGAAGGCGGGUUCCUGGACAUUAACUGACGCUGAGGCACGAAGGCCAGGGGAGCGAAAGGGAUUAGAUACCCUAGUAGUC
rnacentral:rRNA from 1 species